AGUGGGGAUAGCUGGGUCAAAUGGUGGUUCCAUUCCAAGCUUUCUGAAGAAUAUUCAUACUGCUUUCCAGAGUGGUUGCAACAAUUUGCAGUCCCACCAGCAAU
rnacentral:pre_miRNA from 1 species